AGGGCACCACCAGGAGUGGAGCCUGCGGCUUAAUUUGACUCAACACGGGAAAUCUCACCAGGCCCGGACACCGGAAGGAUUGACAGAUUGAGAGCUCUUUCUUGAUUCGGUGGGUGGUGGUGCAUGGCCGUUCUUAGUUGGUGGAGCGAUUUGUCUGGUUAAUUCCGAUAACGAACGAGACUCUGGCCUACUAACUAGACGUUGGAUCCCUUUGUGGGUCCAUCGCAGCUUCUUAGAGGGGCGGGCGGCGUUUAGCCGCACGAGAUUGAGCAAUAACAGGUCUGUGAUGCCCUUAGAUGUUCUGGGCUGCACGCGCGCUACACUGAAGGAAUCAGCGUGUGUUCCCUAUCCGAAAGGAUUGGGAAACCCGUUGAACCUCCUUCGUGAUGGGGAUUGGGGAUUGCAAUUAUUCCCCAUGAACGAGGAAUUCCCAGUAGGCGCGAGUCAUAAGCUUGCGUCGAUUACGUCCCUGCCCUUUGUACACACCGCCCGUCGCUACUACCGAUCGAGUGAUUUAGU
rnacentral:rRNA from 1 species